rnacentral:rRNA from 1 species
CCAGACUCCUACGGGAGGCAGCAGUGGGGAAUAUUGCACAAUGGGGGAAACCCUGAUGCAGCGACGCCGCGUGGGUGAAGGAGUAUUUCGGUAUGUAAAGCCCUAUCAGCAGGGAAGAACAAUGACGGUACCUGACUAAGAAGCACCGGCUAAAUACGUGCCAGCAGCCGCGGUAAUACGUAUGGUGCAAGCGUUAUCCGGAUUUACUGGGUGUAAAGGGAGCGCAGGCGGCGCGUUAAGCCUGGUGUGAAAGCCCGGGGCUCAACCCCGGGACUGCAUUUGGAACUGUGUGGCUGGAGUGUCGGAGAGGCAGGCGGAAUUCCUAGUGUAGCGGUGAAAUGCGUAGAUAUUAGGAGGAACACCAGUGGCGAAGGCGGCCUGCUGGACGAUGACUGACGUUGAGGCUCGAAAGCGUGGGGAGCAAACAGGAUUAGAUACCCCCGUAU